rfam:Gossypium raimondii chromosome 1, whole genome shotgun sequence.
AUUCCAUGAUGAGGGCACUUUUAUAAUAAUUCUUUGUACCUUUCCCAUGUCUCAUACAAGGACUCAUCAUUCAUUUGUUAGAAAGUAGUGAUCUCAUUCCUCAACUU